AUGAGCAGGUUCAGGAAAGAACCAGUGGUUAUCAUGGCGGACGUCGAAGCAAUGUUUCACCAGGUCCGGGUACCACCAGAGGACGCUGACUUAUUGAGGUUCCUCUGGUGGCCUGCUGGAGAUUUAAGUCAAGAUCAUGUGGACUUCAGGAUGCUGGUGCAUCUCUUUGGGGCAACGUCCUCUCCCAGCUGCGCCAAUUUUGCCCUCAGGAAAUGUGCAGAGGACAACAAAGGACAGUUCAGCCAGGAAGCAAUGGAUAAGGUCCUACAUAGCUUUUAUGUAGAUGAUUGCCUAGUGUCUGUGGCUUCAGAGGAGAAAGCUGUGUCUCUUUAUCAUGAGCUCAUCGCUAUCUGUGCUAAAGGUGGUUUCCGACUCACAAAGUGGAUAAGCAACAGGCGUGAUGUUCUAACUGCAAUACCUGAAGAGCACAGAGCUAAAGACAUGAAAAUGUUGAACAUGGACCUGGAUUUGCCACCUGUGGAGAGAGUGCUUGGUGUGGAGUGGUGCAUUCAGUCUGAUACUUUUAAGUUCAAGAUUGUUGUUAAGGACAGACCACUCACUAGGAGAGGAAUCCUCUCUACAGUUAGCUCCAUCUAUGAUCCUCUUGGUAUCGUGAGUCCUGUCGUCUUGUCCGCAAAGAAGAUCUUAAGGGAUCUGUGUAGGAGAGCACUUGGCUGGGAUGAUGUCAUACCCCAGACCGUGGCUCAGGAGUGGACAAGUUGGCUGGAUGAACUUUUCCAUUUGGAGAAAUGCAACAUCAUGAGGUGUCUGAAACCAUUGGACUUUGGUGAAGUGACUACGGCACAAUUACAUCAUUUCUGUGAUGCAAGCGAGGAUGGCUAUGGAGCAGUGACUUACCUGCUGUCACGAAAUGCACACUCACAGGUGCACAGUGCUUUUGUCAUGGGAAAGGCAAGGGUGGCACCAUUGAAACCUGCUACCAUCCCCCGAAUGGAGCUCAUCGCUGCCACCAUGGCCAGUCGCAUUGAUAUCUUGUGGAAGAAAGAGCUGCACAUGCAUCUUCAAGACUCUGUGUUUUGGACCGACAGUACUUCGGUGCUGAAAUAUAUCAGGAAUGAGACAUCCAGGUUCAGAGUCUUUGUUGCCAACAGAGUCACAGAAAUUCGCAAGGCUUCACAACCCUCUCAGUGGAGGUAUGUUGGAACGGCAAGUAAUCCAGCCGAUGUCGCCUCCAGGGGUGUUAAAGGCGAUGCAUUUCUCAAGGAUGCAACAUGGGUGUCAGGGCCUCGUUUUCUCCUUCAACCUGAGAAUGAGUGGCCUGUCAACCCUGAGAAUGUUCAUCGACUCCCAGCAGAUGACCCUGAGGUCAAGAAGGAAGCCACAGUGAAUACUGUACAGGCCAGUGAGGAGGCUGAUGCAGUAACUCGCAUGAUCCACCACUUCAGCUCUUGGAUCCAUCUGAGAAAGUCUGUAGCUUGGAUCUUGAGAUUUAAAACUUGGCUCUUAUCUCUCUGCCAGAAGAGGAGACAAUUGAAUAUGGCUCUUGCACAAUCUGCGUUGGAUAUGGAACAACAACGACGUUCAUUGGAGAGGGAUAUGGAAACAUUCAAGAGAAAGAUGCUUUCAAGUUGUUUAUCAGUGGAGGAGUUGGAGAAAUCGGAGCUAGAGAUCAUCAAGUUCAGUCAAAGGAGGAGGUUUCCAGAGGAGUUCUCCAUGCUGGAAAAAGGCAAAAGUGUCAAGGGUCAUAGUCACAUCCACACACUCUGCCCACUAAUAAAGGAUGGAGUUCUAAGACUUGGUGGUCGGCUCAGCAGGUCAUCUAUGCCAGCAGAAGCUAAGCAUCCCAUAAUACUGGCAAAAGAUUUACAUAUCUCAACCCUUCUGCUGAGACAUGUCCAUCAAGAGGUGGGACAUAGUGGACGAAACCACAUGUUGUCUAAGCUGCGGGAGAAAUACUGGAUCUCAGGAGCUAGUACAGCCAUAAGGAGUGUUCUGUCAAAGUGUCUGAGCUGUCGACGAUUGAAUGCUCAGCCAGUGUCUCAGCUAAUGGCAGACUUACCAUCUGAAAGGGUGAUUCCAGAUGAACCUCCAUUUACACGGGUAGGAGUAGACUAUUUUGGACCUUUCGAGGUGAGGAGCAGAAGAAGUGUUGUUAAGAGGUAUGGGGUAAUUUUUACCUGCAUGGCGUUAAGAGCAAUCCACAUUGAAGUGGCACCUUCCCUCGACACGGACGCCUUCAUAAAUGCUCUCAGACGCUUUAUAGCAAGACGUGGUCAAGUACGGGAAUUGCGCUCAGAUAAUGGGACGAAUUUUAGGGGAGCAGAACACGAAUUGAAAACAUCCAUUGAGCAGUGGAAUCAGGCACAGAUUAAUGAUGUCCUCCUUCAGAAAGGGAUAAAAUGGACUUUUAAUCCCCCAGCUGGCUCCCAUCAUGGAGGUUCUUGGGAGAGGUUAAUUCGAUCAGUCCGUAAAGUCCUCAACUCCACCUUGAAUGUGCAAAGUUUGGAUGAAGAAGGCCUUCAUACAGUUCUCUGUGAGGUGGAAGCCAUUAUCAAUGGCCGACCGAUUACAAAAGCUUCCAUGGAUCCUCAUGACCUGGAAGCAUUGACGCCUAAUCACCUGCUGCUUUUGAAGGCAUUACCAUCUUUGCCACCAGGAGUCUUCCAGGAGGCCGACAUGUACGCACGCAGGCGAUGGAAGCAGGUCCAGUACAUGUCAGACCUGUUCUGGAAAAGAUGGGUUAAGGAGUACCUGCCUCAAUUGCAGGAGCGGCAGAGAUGGUCAGGAGUGAAGCGCAACCUUGUUCCUGGAGAUCUGGUGCUUAUAGUGGACAGCACAGCACCUCGUAACUCCUGGGUCAUGGGACGAGUCCUACAAACCUUUCCGGAUAGAAGGGGCUUUGUGCGUCAGGUGCGCAUCAAAACUAAGAGUAGCUGCCUGAACCGGCCUAUAACCAAGGUCUGUCUGCUGCAGGAGGCCGAUGCUGGAUGUGGGGAGGCUGUUAGGGAUGACAAUACCUAG
ensembl:lncRNA